rnacentral:piRNA from 1 species
UGUGAUUCAGUCCUGUCAACUGACUAGGGUA